GAUGAAGAACGUAGCGAAAUGCGAUACUUGGUGUGAAUUGCAGAAUCCCGUGAACCAUCGAGUCUUUGAACGCAAGUUGCGCCCGAAGCCAUCAGGUUGAGGGCACGUCUGCCUGGGCGUCACAUAUCGUUGCCCAAUGCCUAUUGCAGUGCAAUAGGAAUUUCUAGGGCGAAUGAUGGCUUCCCGUGAGCGUUGUUGCCUCGCGGUUGGUUGAAAAUCGAGUCCUUGGUAGGGUGUGCCAUGGUAGAUGGUGGUCGAGUUAGAACGAUACCGAUCAUGUGCAUGCUCCCCAAAAUAUGGCCUCUAUGACCCACACGCGUCUUUUGACGCGCAUGACGAGACCUCAGGUCAGGCGGGGCUACCCGCUGAAUUUAAGCAUAUCAAUAAGCGGAGGA
rnacentral:misc_RNA from 1 species